rnacentral:rRNA from 1 species
UACGUAGGGUGCAAGCGUUGCUCGGAAUCACUGGGCGUAAAGGGUGCGUAGGCGGGUCUUUAAGUCAGGGUGAAUCCUGGAGCUCAACUCCAGAACUGCCUUUGAUACUGAGGAUCUUGAGUUCGGGAGAGGUGAGUGGAACUGCGAGUGUAGAGGUGAAAUUCGUAGAUAUUCGCAAGAACACCAGUGGCGAAGGCGGCUCACUGGCCCGAUACUGACGCUGAGGCACGAAAGCGUGGGGAGCAAACAGG